UGUUUUUUUUUCCAACUAGCCUGUUCCCAGAUCGGAAAAAAAACUACAGCACCCAGAAUUCAAAGGGCCGGCAUCGGACUUCCGCGCUGACAUCACCUAACCAGGGCACCUUUCAAGAUGGCGGCGGCAGCAGAGGCGCAGGAUAAUGAACUGGACGAGUUGUUAGACAGUGCCCUGGACGACUUUGAGAAGACCAAGCCCUGCGCCGCGGCCCCCAGCUCUGAGGGAGAGCCGACUGCAGCGCCCCCUGCUGCUGCCAGUGACAAGGAGACAGUGAGUCGGUCUUCACUGGCUUUGCUU